ACGAUUAAGUGUCGUAAGGGCAUUUGGUGGAUGCCUUGGCAUGCACAGGCGAUGAAGGACGUGAUACGCUGCGAAAAGCCGUGGGGAGCUGCGAAUAAGCUUUGAUCCAUGGAUAUCCGAAUGGGGAAACCCACCUUAGAUACCUAGAAAAUCUGUUCUGUUGAAACCAGACUUUGGAACGGCUCGAUGCCUGAAUGGGACUUCCCAUACAGGCCAGAGGCCGUCGCCAAUCGUUUGGCGCGCCGUCCGCAGGCCCUUUGGGCCGUGAGGACAAAACAAACCCGGCAUGUCCGGGUGAGGCGGUGCAACGGAAACAGGUUUCUAGGUAUUGUUAAAAGGUAUCUACACCUGAAUACAUAGGGUGUAAGAAGCGAACUCGGGGAACUGAAACAUCUAAGUACCCGAAGGAAAGGACAUCAACCGAGACUCC
rnacentral:rRNA from 1 species